rnacentral:rRNA from 1 species
GACGAACCGUGCGAACGUUAUUCGGAAUCACUGGGCUUAAAGCGCGUGUAGGCGGGACGGCACGUCCGUCGCUGAAAUCCCCCGGCUCAACCGGGGAACUGGCGGGGAUACGACCGUCCUGGAGGGACGUAGGGGACCUGGAACUUCCGGUGGAGCGGUGAAAUGCGUUGAGAUCGGAAGGAACGCCCGUGGCGAAAGCGAGGUCCUGGACGUUUUCGUGACGCUGAGACGCGAAAGCCAGGGGAGCGAACGGG